AGGGGCAACAAAUCAAUUGGUAUUUUUUCGUUUCUUCUCUCUUUCCAGAGCUAUUCUUCUUCUUCUUCUUCUCUCUCUCAGUCUAAAUUCUUCUUCUUCUUCUUAUCUUCAUCUGCAGAUAUGAAUCUCAUCGAUGGCUUUCUAGUAGAGUAGUUCAAUUCAACACUCGUAUUUCUAUUUUUAGUUGUAACAGUUUGAAGUUCUAUUAAUACAAAUCAGAAAAUUGUCCCAAAAAAGCUUCUUGUUAAUUUUAAUCUAGUUGAGAUCAUAAUAAUUGGUAUCAGAGAUUUGGUUCUGCAACCUGUGCGUGAAUAUUAACAAUGGACAAUCCACUUAACAUACAGAGUGAAAUUCUAGAGAGAUUGACCACUGGCGUUAGGAAACUCAAUGAAGCAGAGGUGGCAUUAGGGGAACACUAAAACUGACCCUAGAACGAUUGGACGCCAUAGCAAGGAGGUCAAUACCAAUACCAAAUAUGAACUCUGAUGAGAGUGAAUGUAGUGUGUGCAAAGUCGAUUGCAAGUCCAACAUUUGUAUCGGAGUGGAGGCUACAUCUUGGCAAAGUGAGUGUACCGUUUGCAUCAAAACUGAUCUUAUAUCUCCAGGAAGUGCAGGAGCUUGCUUACACAACAUUGAUUGUGAGUGCGACAAUUGUAUUGAAAGUGAUACAUUUCUAGGAAGUGAACGACUGAACUGUGAUGAGAUAGAAAUAAUUUGGCCUUGCGACUUUCAUAUACUUGACGAUCCACAGUGAUAUAAGAAGUCUUUCCUUACACGUAACAACAUCGUCUGAUAAGAAGAUUAUGUUAUUUUGGAGAUCGAUUCUGCCAUUAACCUUGCAUGAUGAGUCACAAUUUAUUUGUCUGUACAUUAUUGGUUAGUUGAUGGGCGUAAAAUGCGGAAAGCUUCUCAAAGAAGAGGUUCAAUCAUGGCUAGUAACUUGUCAACUGCUAGAGUAAAGGCUUACUUGGAAGAACUACAUAUUUGUAAACAAUGUCAACCUUGGUCAUUGGUUGUAUCCUCCUUGUUGCAAUGUAUUUUGGUGCUCUUAAUCUUGGUAGUAGACAAAGAUGGAAAAGCUACAUGGUUACAAGUUACUCGAACAGAGCUGCUAGUGGAUUAUUCAACCGAAACUGAAGUUAAAUUAGGGACAUUUAGCGUGGUUACAUUUUGGAAGAUUGAAUAUGCGAGGGUUUAAUUACAAUAUUUAUAGUUGAUAUAGUUGGCCUAACUAUACUUUUAUCAAACACCAAUGACUUUGCUAAACUAAGAGAUGGAGCUGCAAUAGUAAGAACAAUGGUGUAUGGUUUGUAUUCACUUUUGACCCAGGUGGUAUGUCUAUUGGCUUGGAGAAGGCAGCUGUUGAUUGCAUUUUAUAAAAAUACAACAUUUCAAUAUUUUACAUCAGCACACAUGCAUCUUCACGAGAUAUGUGACAUCAUUCUUCCCUGUUCUCCCUUGGAGUCAAGUGUAUGAAAGCAAAGUCAGCUCAAAUGUUGCUUAUAUAGUUUUUCUGAUGAUGGAGGAACUUGCACUACACCUUUUACAUCAGCAACUAGACAACUUUUGUUGGUCUAUUCUUAACACUAAGGAAGUAGAGUAUUGUUUCUAUGGCAAGAAAUUGUAUUUCUUGAUUGCUACCACACUUGAAACUCGAGGUCUUUCACAUCUAUUUCAAUUUGAUUUGGGGCAUAUCUUUUUUAAAGAAGUGUUGUUACUUGAGUGACUCUGAUCGAAACUUUGAUAUUUCUACAUUUGGUAACCCCAAGUAUACAAAAGGAAUUUUACUAUCAACUUAUAAUGCUUUCUUUUUGCAUGACUCGAAUGAUUUCGAAACACUUAGAGAUCAUUUUUGCAUAUCAAAUCUUGCAGAGUGUUGAUCUCCAAAAGCGUCUCCACAUCUCUACACCAGAGGCUGAACAUCUCUUUGACAGAACAACGGAGCUGCAGACUAAAAUAGAAAUAGUACUGAGAAAGAUAACUAGCCUAUCUUUGCUUCGUGAUAUAUGGGAGACAAUGGCAGCGAAGGUCAAUCAACCCAAGUCUUUAAUUGAAGCUUUUGAGAGGGAAGUGUUCAAAGCAAAUAGACAUAUUACCUUGGAAAUUCUAGCGAGAAAUAAUCUGAUAAUUUUGUUUUUCAUAUGCGGGUGUGGACAACAAACUUGAGGACAAGGUUGAUUUUAAGCGGAAAGGAUUGUAAUGAACAUGAAUGGGACAAAUUUUUGAUAAUCAUCCUUGGGGUCAAGGAUUGUUUGAUCCGGGCAGGAAUGUCAUGAUUUCAAGUGGAUGAAAUCGGUCUGAGUAAAUGAGGUAAGUGAAGAAUAAAGAAAUGACGAAUAGAAUUAUAACACACGGAAGCACAAGAUUUAAUUGGAGUUAAUGAAGUGAAGAGUUGUGAUUGCACGUGAGCAUCCUAAUAAGUAAGUUCCGGAAAGAGCAACAGGGGCAACUAAUCAAUUGGUAUUUUUCUUCUCUCUUUUCAGAUUUCUUCUUCUUCUCUCUCAGUCUAAAUUCUUCUUCUUCUUAUCUUCAUCUGCAGAUAUGAAGCUCAUCCAUGGCUUCCCAGUAGAGUAGUUCUAUUCAACACUCGUAUUUCUAUUUUUAGUUGUAACAGUUUGAAGUACUAAUAAUACAAAUUAGAAAAUUGUCCCAAAAAAGCUUGUUGUUGAUUUUAUUCUAGUUCAGAUCAUAACAUUUUAACUGAA